GUAGGGAAUAUUGGGCAAUGGUCGGAAGACUGACCCAGCCAUGCCGCGUGCAGGAAGACGGCCCUCUGGGUUGUAAACUGCUUUUAUCUGGGAAGAAAAAGGCCAUGCGUGGCAAAUUGCCGGUACCAGAUGAAUAAGCACCGGCUAACUCCGUGCCAGCAGCCGCGGUAAUACGGAGGGUGCGAGCGUUGUCCGGAUUUAUUGGGUUUAAAGGGUGCGUAGGCGGCUGAUUAAGUCAGCGGUGAAAGACUUCGGCUUAACCGGAGCAGUGCCGUUGAUACUGGGUGGCUUGAGUGUCGGAGGGGUACAUGGAAUUGAUGGUGUAGCGGUGAAAUGCAUAGAUACCAUCAGGAACACCGAUAGCGAAGGCAUUGUACUGGCCGACAACUGACGCUGAUGCACGAAAGUGUGGGGAUCGAACAGGAUUAGAUACCCUAGUAGUCC
rnacentral:rRNA from 1 species